AUGUUCAGUCUAUCGUUUAAUUGCUUGUUCAGUGACUGGUUGCAUCAUAUUUCAGUCAUUGUUUUAGUUCGAUUUUGUAAACGCAAGCUUGUUUCUGAUCAGUACUCCAUUGCAUUGUAUCUAAAUCUAUGUAUUUGCAUGUUGGUUAGUUCCAACAGUUUAUCGUUUAAGUGUUUGUUCGGUGACUAUGGUUGCAUCAUUUCAUUCAUAUUAAUUUUCAACGGCAGAAUUGUACGCACCAAGCAUUCUCUUAGUUUCUUUUUUUUUUUGAAGUCUUCUUGGCUCCCUAAGUUUUGUGUGUUUAAGUUUUUCCUUCAUUCUUCAGUCCUUUUUUCUUGA
rnacentral:rRNA from 1 species